AAAAAGCGCAGAAGAGAAGAGAGAAAAGAGAGAAAAGGAGAGAAGAAAAAAAAGGAGAAGGAAAAAGAGAAAAAAAAAAAGGGAAAGAAAAAGAAAGAAGAAGAAGGAGAAGAGGAAAUUGAUAGGAAAAUAAGGAUAAGUAUGAAUAGGUGAAGAUAGAGGAAGAUUCGUAAAGGAUUUCCAGCAUUAGUUUUGGGUCUACUCAAAUGUAUUUUAUAUCAAGUAUGACAGAUUUUCAGUUGCUCUGCCUACGUAAUAUUUCACGUCAGGUAUGACAGAUGUUAGUUGUUCUGCCUGUGCAGUAUUUUAUGCUAGUAUUUUACCCUAGGCAUGACAAAUUUCAAUUGCUCUACCCAAGCAAGAUUCAGCAUGUCAGAUAUGAUAGUUUUUUCUCGCUUUGCCUGUGUUGGGGACAUCUAUCGGGACUGUGUCGAGCAAUGACUUGCCCAAGGUUGUGCACAAUAUAACAUCUUCAGUAGGUGUCCCAAUUUGCAUACAUAUAUUUGAGUUUUCUUUGAGAAACUUAGGAAACGUUGAAGGUCGAAGGCCUAGUUAAACUAUUUUCAUGAUUUUGAAUGGAAAUCAAGAUGUAAAAUUUUUGUUAUGCAUGUGAUAAGGUUGGAGGCCUAAGUAAAAGCUUAUUUUGUGUUUUAAUUUGAAAUUAGGUUGUUAUUUUGUUGUAUAAUUAUGGUAAGGCUAGAGGCCUAGACAUGAUGUAAAAAAAAAAAAAUUAAGUGUUAUAGUUAUGUGUGUAGCAGAAUAUUUAAAAAUUUUACAGGAUGCAUCUUGAUCUCCUAAAUCCCAUAAGAGCGUUGGGUGUUAUGGGGUUAGAGAGUUGGGAUGGUUCCUAUCAACUUGGUAUCAGAGCUUAGGUUUUAGAUUCUACGGGCA